GACGAACGCUGGCGGCGUGCUUAACACAUGCAAGUCGAGCGGUAAGGCCCUUUCGGGGGUACACGAGCGGCGAACGGGUGAGUAACACGUGGGUGACCUGCCCUCAGCUCUGGGAUAAGCCCGGGAAACUGGGUCUAAUACCGGAUAUGACUUCAUGACGCAUGUUGUGGAGUGGAAAGCCUUGUGCGGCUGAGGAUGGGCCCGCGGCCUAUCAGCUUGUUGGUGGGGUGANGGCCUACCAAGGCGACGACGGGUAGCCGGCCUGAGAGGGCGACCGGCCACACUGGGACUGAGACACGGCCCAGACUCCUACGGGAGGCAGCAGUGGGGAAUAUUGCACAAUGGGCGAAAGCCUGAUGCAGCGACGCCGCGUGAGGGAUGACGGCCUUGG
rnacentral:rRNA from 1 species